AACGAACGCUGGCGGCAGGCCUAACACAUGCAAGUCGAGCGCACUCUUCGGAGUGAGCGGCGGACGGGUUAGUAACGCGUGGGAAUAUACCCGACACUAAGGAAUAGCCACUGGAAACGGUGAGUAAUACCUUAUACGCCCUUCGGGGGAAAGAUUUAUCGGUGACGGAUUAGCCCGCGUUAGAUUAGAUAGUUGGUGGGGUAACGGCCUACCAAGUCGACGAUCUAUAGCUGGUUUGAGAGGAUGAUCAGCAACACUGGGACUGAGACACGGCCCAG
rnacentral:rRNA from 1 species